rnacentral:lncRNA from 1 species
AUCACAAGUGGUAAGGAUUCCCAACUACUUUUAUAAACACCACUACAACUUAACAAGCUCAUCUACGUCCAGAUUCCUGUUUGUGUUUUUCCAGACCUGAUCUGUGUUUUUAAGUAGACCAACUUGGAUUGUUGGACCUCAUCUAUAAAUUAGAAUUUUAUUUUGAGUUGUAGCCCAAGUAUAAAUUAAAUCAAAAUGGGAUUAAAAUUUUUAGAAGCAGAGGCUAAUAUAUAAGUAAAGCUUGGGACUUGAACUUUCUGUAUCUCUUAAGAGAAGCAAGUAAAAACCAAAUGGUUACAUUGUGCUGCUGGAAAUAAUGUAGUCACUCCCAACUAAAAGAAUUACACCUGUAGUUACUUGACACUAAUACCAUCUGUGGACAGUUAAUCAAGAGAAUGGUAAAUACAAAUAGAACUUUCAUCUUAACUUCAGACGCUACAGGGUAAUUGCAUAAUUCGCUAGCACUCAUUCCUUUAAAGAAGCUUUGUAGGUUAGCAGAGUUUUGGUUUCUCUUCUAGCUCAGCCAGUCCCUUGUCCUUAGCAACUAUUUGCUUUUCUUUUUCCUGAAGUUUAACCUCUCCUUGGAACAAAAACAGGGCUAACUGGAAAAAUAUUUUGACCAUAGCUCUAGUACUUCCAAAUAAAUUCGUAUCCAGAUUGUCAAACAAAGCCCCCAAAUGAAGUCUAAUUCUGAAUAGAUUCCACAAUUUUGAGUGUUCUUUUUAUCUUACCAACCUAACUUCUUCCCUUCUUCUCAUGCUGGCCUCCCACACCCUCUUAUUUUCUUUUGGCCAUUAUAAUCACAUCCAUUCGACUUUGAUACUCUACCUGCCUUUCAGAAUGAUGGAAUUAGGUAUUCACCCUGUCUUUGAGUGAGGCUGGUUACCAUCGAAGCCAUUUUCUCAAAGUUAUGUGACUAGAAGUUGGAAUCUACUUCCAUACGGAAAGAUCCAAGGGUGGUAGACAAAGCAACCUUCCCGGAGCAGGAGAGCUGGGUUUGAGCUCUAUUGUAGUGACCUGCUGUGACCCUGUGCUCUCUCAUGUGGCCCUAAUGGCUCCUUUGCUAUUAAGUGGCAAAUUACAUUUGGAGUGUCUCCUUCCUUUUCAGAGAACAGAAUUAAUCAAGGCAAAUCAACAAACCCCCAGAGUGCUGUAAUUUAAAGUCAUGAUCACUGCCCUAGAAACGAUAUAUUUGGCAUACUUUAAAAUCAGCUAACUUGGACUGCUUGAGUUGUCUUGGCUAUUAGGACCUAAACGGUUACUAUUAUGUUAUGCUGCACAGAAGGUAUAUUUUAUAAGCUUUUUGGCUUUCUUUUCCCUAAAACAACUAUAACAGCUGUUAGAAGGGAUGAGUCCCUCUAAAGUUUUUUUGUUAAUGUGUUUAUGGAAGCGGGUGGGGAGCUAGUGUGAUAGUAGAGAAGAGCCCAUUUUUUCCUUAUUUUCAAAGCUAAAGAAAAUAAUUAGGCUUCCUGUGAGUUGUCUUUUACUCGCAUACUUUUUUUUUCGUUUUGAUAUUGUUAAAUUUGGUGUAUUAUGUGGAGCUUCUGUAUUUCAAACUGGAAGCUGUCUUCUUUGAAGGUGGUAUGUGAUGUUAUUUUGAGCUACUAGAGCUUUGGUCAAUAUUUCCUUCCCUAUAUGUCACGGGGGGCACCGUUCAGAACUGUGUACAGAAGACCUCAAACAGAAAAUGAGCAGGAACUUCCAGUCAGCUUUCUGCUGGCUAGCUUUUUUGCCCCCAGUAUUACAAUUUUUGUUUUGUAAAUCAUGUCUUUGCUGACUUUUCUGCCCCUUUUCAAAGUGAUCUGAAAAAUUGUUUUUUCCUCAAGAAAAGAGUUCCUUUGCCUCAUUCUUCCCCACUGGUACUGACGGUUUUGAAAAUAAAUUGCUAGGAAAAAAUUGUACCUCCUAGAAGGAAGCCCUGUCCACCCUUUCCAGGUGCCGAUGGCUAAGCAGACGUACUGCAAACAUAACUGUAAUGCACGCUGUGGGUUAUUCUCAGUCAGCCUCUUCCUGCUAGAACAUUUUAUUUUCCUUGUUCACCAUACAAUCAUGUACUCUUUAACAGAAAUUACUUUUAAAGAAAUCUGGAGCUAUCUUAAAAAAAAAACUUUAUUAAUAAUCAUGUAUUUUUACUGAUCACAUUUUGAAAUGCCUAAAAGACUUUAUUCUAAUUAUCCAGAUGUACCUUUGUAAAAUAGCUCUUUUAUGAAUUAGCUGAUAAGGCUGUAUGUUUCUGGAACAAAAUAUUGGUCAUCUAAAAACUCUGUUUUCUGGGGUCUGGGAAAAUAGAAAAUGAGAGUUCAAAUAUUAAAUAUGCUUAAAGG